GGGUAUACAGACUAGAUUUAAGAAGGAUGUACCGGCAAGGAUGCGUCAGUCAAAGCUAGCCACUCGUUUGUAGGUUUGCGAACACCCCCAGCACAAAAUUGUUCAUUUUAAAUGGUGGUCAACAAUAACAAAGAUCAUUAUACAUAAUAUGUCGAAUCAAUUGUGUGAUCAGUUGAUCUGUGAUAACUUGAAUUCUUAUUAUGUGGGCAAGUCGAAAAGACUCCACGGAAACGAAAGAAAUACAUCUGUUGUUGUUUUUUAGAACCUGCUGUCCUUCUCUUAUAUAAAUAGCAAAUUCACUGAAUCAUCUUACCUGAUUUAGAAGAUUCAUUUAUAAUAAGUGAAGCAAAUUGUGGGAGUUUCACAUUUGUUUGUGAAUCCACGUAAAGAAAAAAAAAAGAAUUAAAAUCCACUUGACAGUUUAAAGUAUAAUCCGUUAUUUCACGAUGAUUUGGUAACCAUGAGGGCCAUUUAUAUUUGUGAACGAAAGUAGAAUUUUUGAAGUCGCCCAUUAUUAUUUGAGCUUAGAUUCAGCAAUUAAACAAAAGAAAAAAGAAAGAAAAGAAAAGAAAAAAAAGAAAAAAGAAAAAAGAAAAAAGAAAAAAGAAAAAAGAAAAAAGAAAAAAAGCAAGAAACUCGGCGUUGCGUCCGCAAGAUGUCAACAUCUUGAGAAGAUCAUUUCAGCGCCGAGCAAGCUGAAAAAAUAUACAACAGAAAAGGAAAAUACUGAAGGUUAAUGUGGUGUAAAAAUGUGACUUUUUAGUAAGAAAGAAAGAAAGAAACGCAGGUCGGGAUUUGCGUUAUUUGACGCACACUGCGCCUGUUUUAAGACCCCAAACAGAUUUUCUCUCUCUCCUCGUUUAAGUAAAACUAAACGUCGCAUGGUCGUGUAAUUUUAUCAAAUGUCCUUUCAAAGCGAUCGUUUUUUUCAUGUUGUGGGAGAUCGCAACUAAACACUGGAACUCAACCAAAGAUCUGGCGCAUGUAGGCUUCUAGUUUUAUUUAUUAGAGGACUGAAAUCCAACUGGUUACCUAUAAGAAAUAAAAUAACUAAGAUCUUCUAAGAAUACUCACAAUUUCUGGGUUUAUUUGCCGAACGCUUUUUAUGUAAAAAAAAAUGAAUUUUCUAUUUCAUUAUUCUAUUUUGUACUUUGUGAGGAGUUUUAUUUUUAUUAAUGAAGAUGAAAUCCUUUAAUUUCGCUUUACUCGCGUCUUGGUUCUUUCUCGUAUUCCUUGUUAUUCUUUCAAAUGACCUCUUUGUAAAUAUUCUUUUAUUCCC
ensembl:lncRNA